CCUACGGGAGGCUGCAGUGAGGAAUAUUGGUCAAUGGACGCAAGUCUGAACCAGCCAUGCCGCGUGCAGGAAUACGGCUCUAUGAGUUGUAAACUGCUGUUGUACGAGGGUAAACGCAGAUACGCGUAUCUGUCUGAAAGUAUCGUACGAAUAAGGAUCGGCUAACUCCGUGCCAGCAGCCGCGGUAAUACGGAGGAUUCAAGCGUUAUCCGGAUUUAUUGGGGUUAAGGGGUGCGUAGGCGGUCGGAUAAGUUAGAGGUGAAAUCCCGAGGCUCAACUUCGGAAUUGCAUCUGAUACUGCUAGGCUAGAGAAUAGUUGCGGUAGGCGGAAUGUAUGGUGUAGCGGUGAAAUGCGUAGAGAUCAUACAGAACACCGAUUGCGAAGGCAGCUUACCAAGCUACUUCUGACGUUGAGGCACGAAAGCGAGGGGAGCAAACGGGAUUAGAUACCCGGGUAGUC
rnacentral:rRNA from 1 species